rnacentral:tRNA from 1 species
CGGGGUGUAGCACAGUUGGUAGCGCGCCUGCUUUGGGAGCAGGAGGUCCCCAGUUCGAGUCUGGGCACCCCGA